AAAAAACACUUUAAAAUGGUCACCCGCUCCCAUUUACGUCUCACUUGAAGUCCUAAUCUUCUAUUUGCGACAUUAGAAUCCUCUCCAGUGGCAACUAAUUGUGGUGUCACAAACAAAGGAUUAUAACUACUUGAGGAAUAAGCAGUGGAGAGGAAAGGUCCUGUCUCCAUGUCAGUGUUUCUGGCAAAUCUGUUCUUCAAGACACAAAAUACAGCAUCCAUCUGAUUCUCACAUGCGAUAGUAACAAUAAGGCCUAACAUCUCUUGAGUCUCUGGGCCCCCCUUGCGUUACCAGUAGGAUGUGAGAAGUGGACACACCGUCCUGGCCUGAGCCCUAAGACCACAGCUUGUUACAUCCGACCCCCUGGUUUGUCUUCAUCGGGACUCUCAGUUACAAAUGACAGAAACAUCAUUAAAACUCCUUUAUGCGUUUGGAAAAGGAGGAGAGUUACUGGCUCAAGCCCUCCGUUGCGACCACAGGGAGAUACCUCCUGCCUCCUGAGGCACGGACCCUCUCCUCUCCGGGUACCCAGAGUACAACGAGAAUCUCUCCCUGGCAGUUUAUGGUGUUUGCUGAACCAGCCACAGCGGGCAGGUGGCACGAUGGUCACAUUCCCACAGCUGCAGGCAGCUCCACCCAAGCCACGGGGACGGUUACAGAAGGGGGUGUGUGGGGUCGCCACACAACCCAAGCCGAACAAAGAAGCCCCCCUAAAGCAGAGCUCUGUCUCCCACCUUCUGCGAGGCUCAGCUUUGCAUCCCCAAGACAGGCCCGAAUGCUUCUCUAGGACAAUAAACAUCAUUUGAUGAUCCCCGUGUUUUCAGUCUCCGCCUUGAGAGUGUGAUCCCUGCAGACCUCAAACAACGGAGGACCAAAUGACGAUGACCAUCACUCUGCGCUUCGCUAUGUCGCUUGGGGAUUUGGUCACUUUAGAGAUCUGCUUCACGAUUUCCGUUGGAAUCAGGGGGUUCAGGGAGGUCAGGCCACUCACUGGAUUUUGGUUUAUCAUCUCAGAGGCCUCAUAGUAUGAUUGAUGAAGGGGCUUAUGCUUGGGACUCAGGCGACCGAGGUCUUACUUUGGGCCCCACUGCAGACUUGCUGGGUGACCUUGGGAAAAUGAUUUAAUGUCUCCGAGUCUCGUUUUCCCGACCAUCAAAUUGGAGGCCCCAGGCUUACCAACCUACGAGCACUCCCCUAGCCAGCUGAGGAAGGCGCUACAGCUGAAAUUAAUUCCACGAAAUUUUGGAACUAGGCCCCAAAUAAGUAGCAAGCGCUACUUUGCAGGGGGGAGGCUGGAGAGAACUCCGCGUGUGGAAUAACAGCUCACCGCUGACCUCAGCCAUGCUCCAUGAGGACAAAGUAGGGGGUAGGGCUGUGUCAUCUGAGUCUUGAUAUAAAAGUUAAUUAAAAAUGUAUGCCCAGGCUGAAGGAGGACACCUAGUGAAUUAGUGAUGGCCCUCGGAUGUCUACCUUUCAGGGGUGACAGCAUCCGUACAGAAGGCCGGAGGUGGCCCUGGAGGGAGGCCCUGCGAGGAGCCAGGUAACCGAGAGCCCAGCUCGGAAGGUCCUCGUCACCUGGUUUUGGGUGUAGCCAUUGGGUGUAGCCACGGUGCAGAAGGAGGCUGCCUUUGAGUAUUAGGUUAACGUGACUCAUUUAGCAGGAGUCGUGGGGCAAACGCUGUGCCUCCCGCAGCACCGGGGCACGCGCGGGCCCACCCCGCCGCCUUCUGCGGCCCAACCUGCUGGCUGCAGCGAACCCAGCACCACUGGAGUCGAAAAGAGGGGCCCCGUCGCAGGAGUGGGGACCCUACGGAGAUGACAGAGUGGCCUGGCCGCCUGCCGGGAGCCCGUGACCUCUGAGGUCGAGCAGGCCCCCAACCUCUCCCUGGCACACUGAGGCCUAGCCCAGCUGCUGUCAAAUGCUUCUCCUGUCCUGAGUCCUCGUGGGAGUCUCUCUACUGGAUCCUCACCGCCUAAGAACUUGAAACCCACCAGAGCUGGAGGGAACCCUCCUGCUUUUCAUAGGAAGGGUGGUAGGAGAGCCAAGAAACCCUCCAGGGAGCACUCAGGAGAGGGGCCUCCUCCUGUCGGCGGGCACCGAGCCGUGGGCCCUGGACUGCAUGCCCUGCCCGUAAAGGGAAGGCCCGGGGCAGGGGCGCUGGGAAGCUACCCAGGCCCUCCCUGGCUCCUCGCGUCCCGGGCAAACGCACAAUCUCCGGUCUUAGGCACAGGGAAAGUCAGCCCCCAGCAGUGGUGAGGAGGAGACAGCUCAGAGAACGAUCCAGUGUGAGGAGAGCAAGAUGAGGAAUGCCAGGUGGCCCCAGGCUCGCAAAACGUGUGCCAGAAGCCAGUCACUGAGGUUGGGAGGUGGCCGCAUCGGGCUGGCAGGUGGAGAGGGGACCUAGAGCUCAGAGAGCGUGCAUUUGGGGUCAUCAGCCACAGGGAGUUAACACUUAGAGGGUGAAAAAAGAAAAAAACACUUAGAGGGUGGAUGAGUCUGUGGACAGGGGUGAUGAGUAUAGGAAUAACCAAAACACCUCAUUUUAAGGUCCAUCCUUUGUUCAAGAGAUGCUGGGUUUUCUCUGCCAGGUCACUGUUCAGUGAUUAGGAAGUGCAAAUGUGAUGAUUGUCACAUACAAACCUGGAAACAACUUUAAAGUCCCAGUUAAGAGGACAGCCAGAGGUCACGCCUCAGCACCUUCCAAGCUUUGACAGAUGUGCUGGGGAAGCUUCCCUGACCCCCACCCCACCCCCAAGGCCCGAUGGAUGCCUCCUCCAUCUGCUCGACAUGCACCUCCUCGAUUUCAGGCCUUCCUCUGCUCAGUAUACUCAGUCCCCCGAGUGCUGGAACAGUCAUUGGCGCCGGGAAGGGAGUCAUGAAUGAAUGAAUGAAUGAAUGAAUGAAUGAAUGAAUGAAUAAAUAAAUUUAAUCACCAAUCUUUCUACUAAAC
ensembl:lncRNA